AUUGAACGCUGGCGGCAGGCCUAACACAUGCAAGUCGAACGGUAGCACAGAGAGCUUGCUCUCGGGUGACGAGUGGCGGACGGGUGAGUAACGUCUGGGAAACUGCCCGAUGGAGGGGGAUAACUACUGGAAACGGUAGCUAAUACCGCAUAAUGUCGCAAGACCAAAGAGGGGGACCUUCGGGCCUCUUGCUAUCGGAUGAACCCAUAUGGGAUUAGCUAGUAGGUGAGGUAAUGGCUCACCUGGGCGACGAUCUCUAGCUGGUCUGAGAGGAUGACCGGCCACACUGGAACUGAGACACGGUCCAGACUCCUACGGGAGGCAGCAGUGGGGAAUAUUGCACAAUGGGGGAAACCCUGAUGCAGCCAUGCCGCGUGUGUGAAGAAGGCCUUAGGGUUGUAAAGCACUUUCAGUCGGGAGGAAGGGAUUGAGGUUAAUAACCUUAAUCAUUGACGUUACUGACAGAAGAAGCACCGGCUAACUUCGUGCCAGCCGCCGCCGUAA
rnacentral:rRNA from 1 species